rnacentral:rRNA from 1 species
CAGCAGCCACGGUAAUACGAAGGGUGCAAGCGUUAAUCGGAAUUACUGGGCGUAAAGCGCACGCAGGCGGUCUGUCAAGUCAGAUGUGAAGUCCCCGGGCUUAACCUGGGAACUGCAUUUGAAACUGGCAAGCUAGAGUCUUGUAGAGGGGGGUGGAAUUCCAGGUGUAGCGGUGAAAUGCGUAGAGAUCUGGAGGAAUACCGGUGGCGAAGGCGGCCCCCUGGACAAAGACUGACGCUCAGGUGCGAAAGCGUGGGGAGCAAACAGGAUUAGAUACCCGUGUAGUCCCUGUCUCUUAUAC